UACGUAGGGUGCGAGCGUUGUCCGGAAUUAUUGGGCGUAAAGGGCUCGUAGGCGGUCUGUCACGUCGGGAGUGAAAACUCGGGGCUUAACCCCGAGCCUGCUUCCGAUACGGGCAGACUAGAGGUAUGCAGGGGAGAAUGGAAUUCCUGGUGUAGCGGUGAAAUGCGCAGAUAUCAGGAGGAACACCGGUGGCAAAGGCGGUUCUCUGGGCAUUACCUGACGCUGAGGAGCGAAAGUGUGGGGAGCGAACAGG
rnacentral:rRNA from 1 species